UACGAAGGGGGCUAGCGUUGCUCGGAAUCACUGGGCGUAAAGGGUGCGUAGGCGGGUCUUUUAAGUCAGGGGUGAAAUCCUGGAGCUCAACUCCAGAACUGCCUUUGAUACUGAAGAUCUUGAGUUCGGGAGAGGUGAGUGGAACUGCGAGUGUAGAGGUGAAAUUCGUAGAUAUUCGCAAGAACACCAGUGGCGAAGGCGGCUCACUGGCCCGAUACUGACGCUGAGGCACGAAAGCGUGGGG
rnacentral:rRNA from 1 species